AUACGUAGGGGGCGAGCGUUGUCCGGAAUGAUUGGGCGUAAAGGGCGCGUAGGCGGCCCGGUAAGUCUGGAGUGAAAGUCCUGCUUUUAAGGUGGGAAUUGCUUUGGAUACUGUCGGGCUUGAGUGCAGGAGUGGGCAGUGGAAUGCCCAGUGUAGCGGUGAAAUGCGUAGAGAUUGGGAGUAACAUCAGUGGAGAAGGCGACUUACUGGACUGUAACUGACGCUGAGGCGCGAAAGUGUGGGGAGCAAACAGGAUUAGAUACCCUGGUAGUCCACACUGUAAACGAUGAAUGCUAGGUGUAGGGGGUAUCGACCCCUUCUGUGCCGCAGUUAACACAAUAAGCAUUCCGCCUGGGGAGUACGGCCGCAAGGUUGAAACUCAAAGGAAUUGACGGGG
rnacentral:rRNA from 1 species